rfam:Schistosoma mansoni strain Puerto Rico chromosome 4, complete genome
AUCCAGCUGACGAGUCCCAAAUAGGACGAAACGCGCAUCCUGGAU